GACGAACGCUGGCGGCGUGCUUAACACAUGCAAGUCGAACGGAAAGGUCCUGCGCUUGUGGGGUUCUCGAGUGGCGAACGGGUGAGUAACACGUGAGGAUCCUGUACUUGACUGUGUGAUAACUUCAGGAAACUGGGGCGAAUAUCGCGGAUGAUCUACUGCUGCAUGGUGGGGGAUGGAAAGUUUCGGCGGUUGGGUAUGGACUCGCGGGUUAUGAGCUUGUUUGUGGGGUAGGGGCUUACCAAGGUUUUGACGGGUAGCCGGCCUGAGAGGGUGACCGGGCACAUUGGGACUGCGAUACGGACCAGAAGCCUACGGGAGGCAGCAGUGGGGAAUAUUGCACAAUGGGGCGAAGCCUGAUGCAGCGACGCCGCGUGCGGGAUGCCGGGCUUCGGGUUGUAAACAGCUUUCGACUGUGCCGAAGCGUGAGUGACGGUACUGGGUCAAGAAGCACCGGCUAACUACGUG
rnacentral:rRNA from 1 species